rnacentral:rRNA from 1 species
GACCCGGACUAUGGCGGGGAGUGGCAGACUGCUCAGUAACACGUAGCUAACCUACCCUCAGGACGGGGAUAACCCCGGGAAACUGGGGCUAAUACCCGAUAGGUAUGGAUUCCUGGAAUGGUGCCAUGCCUAAACGUAAGCACAUCCAUGUUUGUGUGCACGCCCGAGGAUGGGGCUGCGGCCGAUCAAGCAGAUGGUGAGGUAACGGCUCACCAAACCUUUGACCGGUACGGGCCAUGAGAGUGGUAGCCCGGAGAUGGGCACUGAGACAAGGGCCCAGGCCCUACGGGGCGCAGCAGGCGCGAAACCUCCACAAUUCACGCAAGUGAGAUGGGGUUACCUCGAGUGCUAUCUGAAGAAGGUGGCUUUUCCAUGGUGUAAUGAGCCGUGGGAAUAAGGGGGGGGCAAGACUGGUGUCGGCCGCCGCGGUAACACCAGCCCCCCGAGUGGUGGGGAUGAUUAUUUGGCCUAAAGCGUCCGUAGCCAGCUCGGUAAAUCUCUCGUUAAAUCCAGCGUCCUAAGCGUUGGGCUGCGAGGGAAACUGCCGAACUAGAGGGUGGGAGAGGUCAGCGGUAUUCCUGGGGUAGGGGCGAAGUCCAUUGAUCCCAGGAGGACCACCAGUGGCGAAGGCUGCUGACUAGAACACGCCUGACGGUGAGGGACGAAAGCUGGGGUAGCGAAUCGGAUUAGAUACCCGAGUAGUCCCAGCCGUAAACGAUGCAGG